UUUCUUUCUUUUUGUCCAUGGUGUCUUUUCUCAGGAUUCGCUUCUGUCACGCAUGUUCAAGAAACAAAAAAAGCAGACCAUCUUGUACGUCUCCGUCUCUGUCUCCUGAAUAAAAGGAAAAUAUAUAAUGAAUCUAUUUUGUGGAACAUCUAUUUCUUAUUUUUCAGAUGGGUGAGAAAAAGGAAGGGAA
rnacentral:ribozyme from 1 species